AAUCUUGCGCAAUGGAGGGAACUCUGACGCAGCGACGCCGCGUGAACGAUGAAGGUCUUCGGAUCGUAAAGUUCUGUCCUCAGGGAAGAAGGUCACUUAACGUGACUUGACGGUACCUGUGGAGGAAGCCCCGGCUAACUACGUGCCAGCAGCCGCGGUAAUACGUAGGGGGCAAGCGUUGUCCGGAAUUAUUGGGCGUAAAGGGCACGCAGGCGGUUAUUUAAGUCUGAUGUGAAAUCUUGUGGCUUAACCACAAGCGGUCAUUGGAAACUGGAUAACUUGAGUACAGAAGAGGAGAGUGGAAUUCCACGUGUAGCGGUGAAAUGCGUAGAGAUGUGGAGGAACACCAGUGGCGAAGGCGGCUCUCUGGUCUGUAACUGACGCUGAGGUGCGAAAGCGUGGGUAGCGAACA
rnacentral:rRNA from 1 species